GAUGAAGAACGUAGCGAAAUGCGAAAAGUAGUGUGAAUUGCAGAAUUCAGUGAAUCAUCGAAUCUUUGAACGCACAUUGCGCCCCCUGGUAUUCCGGGGGGCAUGCCUGUCCGAGCGUCAUUACAACCCUCAAGCUCAGCUUGGUGUUGGGCCCCGCCGCCCCGGCGGGCCCUAAAGUCAGUGGCGGUGCCGUCCGGCUCCGAGCGUAGUAAUUCUUCUCGCUCUGGAGGUCCGGUCGUGUGCUCGCCAGCAACCCCCAAUUUUUUUCAGGUUGACCUCGGAUCAGGUAGGGAUACCCGCUGAACUUAAGCAUAUCAAUAAGCGGAGGA
rnacentral:misc_RNA from 1 species